GCGGAUUUAGCUCAGUUGGUAGAGCGUUGGUUUGUGGUACCAAAUGUCGCCGGUUCGAGCCCGGUAAUCCGCCCCA
rnacentral:tRNA from 1 species